CUCUUAAAAUAUAUAUUUCUAAAAAUAAUUUCUUGAACAAAUUAAAACACUUUAUUUCAUUCCUAGACAAAUCUAACAGUAACAGAGGCAGCAAACCCUCACUGGUGUGAGUUUUCAUUCAGGAGUGAUAAAGACAAAUGAAUCCUAAUGAGAGGUAAUUCAUCUCUACUGUCACACUCUCCCCCCAUCGUGAACACCGGGUUAAUCGUCCAAUUUUAACAGAUGUUCACCUCUCAGAUCUGAGGACCUCCAACUUUAACAAAAAAAAUGUAAAUAAAAGCUAGAAGCAGGAAUCUCAGUGACGAAGGAGAGGUGAUAGAUCAGCACUCCCCUAAAAACGUAAAUCAGACCCGCCUCCCUCCAUCCUCCUCAGAGACAUUAUUAGAUAAGAUCAAUAUUCAGAAAGGGGGGCUCCAUUUUUAGCCCUUCCUGUCUGUCUGUGUGUGAGCAACGCACCCCGAUGCCUCCCGUCAGCAGCGGAUGCAACAUCACCAUGGCAACACCGCCUCCUGAACACAUAUGGGUAGCACGCAAAUCCGGCCACGCUGGAGCAAUGGCUGUUGGCAGAGGGAACGUGAGCGCGCCCGAGACGUACGGCUCUGCCGCCGCGUCGACUGGACCCAGCGUCCUUACGCCACCGACGGAACGCAGCGUGGGACAAACACGGGAGUUCUGCAGAAAUCUGCAGAGCUCACCAAAAGACAAAGAAGGGGUCGACAGACUCCCACCAUGAAAAAGGCAGGAACUCAGACUGGAGCGCUGAGAGGCAGAACCCUCAUCGAUUCAGAUGGAUGCUGAUGACAUCAUUCGCUGCAGGACGGGAGGGGCUUAGUGCUGAAACAGGCGAAUCGGCAACAUGCGGUCCCCACCUCUGCCCACAGAGAGGUGCCCUUCAAGCUGAAGGAGCAGCAGGGAGAGCAUCACGCCAAACUCAGCAGAAGACCUCCAAACUCGAGUUAGGAGUGUGACACAGACUGUAGUGAUGCUGACUUUCAAGCACAAAACAAUUAAUGAGGAGAUUUCUAAAAAGUUUAAAGUAGGAAAGCUGUAAAAGAAGCUUAAUCAACGACUGGAUCGGUCGUCUGGAUUACCUUUGUGCCAUUUGUCAAAAAUAAUCAGUUCAAUCUUAUUUUGAUCUAUUGUAAAGUCAUUCUUAGUGGUCUUUAUGAUUAUCGCUCUCAUCCGCUCACUGCCGAACGUCACAGAAGCUGAUGUUUUGGAGUAAAAGGAGUCCAAUGCGGUGGUUUACUGUCACUAAUUCCAGUCUUAGAGGACAAAGGAAAGAUUCAUUUUUAGUCACAAAUAGUCACAAGUGCAGCUCAUUGUGACACAUCUUUGAAAACUUUGCUGUGUAAAAGUUGUAUUUUUAAUGACAUGAGUUAUGAGUUAUAUUGCUAUUUUUACAAUUGCAUACUAUCACUAGUUAGACUAAAAAAUGUAAAAAAAAUCUGAAAAAGAACCCUAAAAAUAAAAAUCCUGUGUUUUUUUUCUAGGAUAAAGUUUGUGCAGCGCAGCAGGAGUUCAUUAUAACUAGGGGUAGGUGUUAAAAUGUUGUUUUAUCUUGAAAAAUAAUAAAUUAUAAUAAAGUCUAGAGAUCCUUUUGAUUCAAAAAUAUAGUCAGAGGGAAAAAAAUAAAUCAUAAACAGCUGAAUCAAUUUAUCUUUAAAUAUCUGAGUCCUAAUCUGUAUCGUUCAGAUUCGCAGUAAACAAAGACUGAUGUUCAUCAGCUUCAACUCUAUUUCCACUCAGCUUCAUAUCUUGUUCUGCAUUUGCUGUGUCAAUAAGUGAAGAUGAAAAAAAAGCUAAAUCAUCUACCACUUCUAAUAACACCUCAGGUUUAUCACAAGGAGCAGCAUCACAUGCUUCAAUGUCCGUUUCCAUGGCAACAACCACAAGCCAGCCGCCUCCGUGUUAAUCACCUUGAUAUGCCACGUCACCCAGCAUGGCUCUUAUCUUUGAGGAGGGAAAACAAAAAUAAAAAAUAAGAGCAGAUCAAUAAACCAAAACAAAUAAUUGACAUCCUCUGAUUAACACUUUGUCCGAUCUGAUGAAGAACGUCCAAUCCGAACAAAUGUUGAUUAAAAGUGUCAAUGAACCAGAACGACUCCUCAAGGCUGAAAUCACAGCUUUUAAAGAGCAUUUUUGACUACAAACUGUACGACCAGACAGUGUGGUUACUGCUCAGACAAUUAAACAAAAGACACCAAUAACAUUUGACAUAUUUCAUUAAAUCACAUUAAUGGCAGCAGAGAAUUGCUGGGUUUCAUUCAUCCCUUAAUUAUUCAGAUUCCUAAUGAUGCUCUCGUUCUCUGAACAAAACGGCUGCAAAAAUACAAAAGUCUCUAAAUGAGAAACAACAAAGACGGUUGAAGGUUUUACUCGCUCAUCUCCGGGCCUGACACCCCCAACUCAAACCAACGUUCAGACUAGUUUGGGGGGUUCAUCCGCUCCAAUCCAAACUCCUUCUGGAGUCUCUGAUCUCCGUUGCUAUCAGGCCUCCCCACUGACACCCCCCUAAAUGAAGGGAGGCCUAUCUCCAGUGAGGGCCAGCCGUGUGUCUCCCAGAGAUUACUCUCACCCCCCACCCCAAACUCUGCUUUAAUACUUGAAAACCUACAAGAUGAAUUCCUUGAAAAAUACAAAAGCGGACUAAUCCCUCCAGUGAUGGAGCAGCAGGCUGACUGGGGAAGAAGAGACUUUUCUGCAGAGGCAGCCGAAAUUUAAAGCAUGGCACUGGUUAAGGACGUUGGUUACAACCCCGGUGUAACCAGCGCGGUGGAAAACAACCAUGUCCAAUGGAAGUAAAUAAAUAAAUAUUGAGG